rnacentral:rRNA from 1 species
AGAGUUUGAUCAUGGCUCAGAUUGAACGCUGGCGGCAUGCCUAACACAUGCAAGUCGAACGGCAGCACAGAGGAGCUUGCUCCUUGGGUGGCGAGUGGCGGACGGGUGAGUAAUGCAUCGGGAUCUACCCUGACGUGGGGGAUAACCUCGGGAAACCGGGACUAAUACCGCAUACGUCCUACGGGAGAAAGCGGGGGACCUUUUAGGCCUCGCGCGGCAGGACGAACCGAUGUGCGAUUAGCUAGUUGGCGGGGUAAUGGCCCACCAAGGCGACGAUCGCUAGCUGGUCUGAGAGGAUGAUCAGCCACACUGGGACUGAGACACGGCCCAGACUCCUACGGGAGGCAGCAGUGGGGAAUAUUGGACAAUGGGCGCAAGCCUGAUCCAGCAAUGCCGCGUGUGUGAAGAAGGCCUUCGGGUUGUAAAGCACUUUUAUCAGGAGCGAAAUCUGCAUGCUUAAUACGUGUGCAGUCUGACGGUACCUGAGGAAUAAGCACCGGCUAACUUCGUGCCAGCAGCCGCGGUAAUACGAAGGGUGCAAGCGUUAAUCGGAAUUACUGGGCGUAGAGGGUGCGUAGGCGGUUCGUUAAGCCUGUCGUGAAAUCCCCGGGCUCAACCUGGGAAUG